CACCAUGAAACCACUAUUCCUAAUAGCUAUUACAUCGGCCAGUAGAGUAUCAGAGAUCCAGGCAUUGUUCUGAAGAACCUUGAUUGAUUAUGGGAGUGUUCAUUAAUUGCACCUGUGUGGGAUUUGUAUCCCCAUAAAGGCACACCCCUAACUCACUGAGCUUGCUCACAUUACUUGAAAGCAGACUAUUAAGUAGACUCUUUCAAAUAG